rnacentral:lncRNA from 1 species
CAAAUUGGGACGUGUAUGUGGGGGGAAUGUCAUGAUGUAAGGGUGAUGUAGUUUGUUGGGUUGAAGAAGAGACACAUUGAUGGGGAUCGUUCAAAAAUUGUGUUAGAGCAACGUGCAUAAAAGGAAUUGACAAAAACCAAUUCAUAUAUUCUCUACCCGACUUAGACUCACCAAGUACCGAGUUCCUUUGUAAUACCAAAUACCUUAUCUUUUUCCAUU